UACGGAGGGUGCAAGCGCUGUUCGGAAUCAUUGGGCGUAAAGCGCGUGUAGGCGGCUAUUUAAGUCUGAUGUGAAAGCCCGGGGCUUAACCCCGGAAGUGCAUUGGAUACUGGGUAGCUAGAGGGCGAGAGAGGAGAAUGGAAUUCCUGGUGUAGGGGUGAAAUCCGUAGAUAUCAGGAGUAGCAUCAGAGGCGAAGGCGGUUCUCUGGCUCGUUUCUGACGCUGAGACGCGAAAGCGUGGGGAGCAAACAGG
rnacentral:rRNA from 1 species